AUCCUGGUCCAGACAACUGCUGCUCGCUGGGUAUUUUCUCUUCUUCAGACCAUUCUCUGUAAACCCUAGACAUGGUUGUGUGUGAAAAUCCAGUAAAUACUCAGACCAACACCCAUGCCACGUUUAAAGGCAUUCUGAUGCUCAGU